GACGAACGCUGGCGGCGUGCUUAACACAUGCAAGUCGAACGGAAAGGCCCUGCUUUUGUGGGGUGCUCGAGUGGCGAACGGGUGAGUAACACGUGAGUAACCUGCCCUUGACUUUGGGGUAACUUCAGGAAACUGGGGCUAAUACCGGAUAGGAGCUCCUGUUGCAUGGUGGGGGUUGGAAAGUUUCGGCGGUUGGGGAUGGACUCGCGGCUUAUCAGCUUGUUGGUUGGGUAGUGGCUUACCAAGGCUUUGACGGGUAGCCGGCCUGUGAGGGUGACCGGCCUCAUUGGGACUGAGAUACGGCCCAGACUCCUACAGGAGGCAGCAGUGGGGAAUAUUACACAAUGGGAGGAAGUCUGAUGCGGCAACGCCGCGUGCGGGAAGACGGCCUUCGGGUUGUGAACAGCUUUCGCCUGUGACGAAGCGUGAGUGACGGUAAUGGGUAAAGAAGCACCGGCUAACUACGUG
rnacentral:rRNA from 1 species